GAGUAACAAGCUCAGUUGGCAGAGCAUGAGGCUCUUCAUCUCAGGAUCGUGGGGUCAAGCCCCGAGUUGGGCA